GACGAACGCUGGCGGCGUGCCUAAUACAUGCAAGUUGAGCGCUGAAGGUUGGUACUUGUACCAACUGGAUGAGCAGCGAACGGGUGAGUAACGCGUGGGGAAUCUGCCUUUGAGCGGGGGACAACAUUUGGAAACGAAUGCUAAUACCGCAUAAAAACUUUAAACACAAGUUUUAAGUUUGAAAGAUGCAAUUGCAUCACUCAAAGAUGAUCCCGCGUUGUAUUAGCUAGUUGGUGAGGUAAAGGCUCACCAAGGCGAUGAUACAUAGCCGACCCGAGAGGGUGAUCGGCCACAUUGGGACUGAGACACGGCCCAAACUCCUACGGGAGGCAGCAGUAGGGAAUCUUCGGCAAUGGACGAAGGUCUGACCGAGCAACGCCGCGUGAGUGAAGAAGGUUUUCGGAUCGUAAAACUCUGUUGGUAGAGAAGAACGUUGGUGAGAGUGGAAAGCUCAUCAAGUGACGGUAACUACCCAGAAAGGGACGGCUAACUACGUG
rnacentral:rRNA from 1 species